GCUGCACCAAUCAACUUCAGAUCUUUGUCACAGUUUUAUUUCAUUUUAUUGUUCUUUUAAAUUUUUUAUACUUAAAUUUUAAUUUUAAUUAAUACAAAAUUUAUUUUCUUGCACUUUAAAUUCUUGUCUUUUAUUUUUAUCAUAAAUAGAUGCUAGGAUCAAGUUAGUAGAUCUUAGUAUCAAUUUAUUUUUAUGUACUUUAAAUUUUUGUUAUUUAUUUUUAUUGUAAGUAGAAGCUAGGAUCUAAAUAGUA
rnacentral:lncRNA from 1 species